GGAAUAACAACUGAAGUCAUUCACAAAUGCUGGGUACCAUGUUUUUCAAAGGUUAGCAUCUCUUACAAAAUGUGCUCUAUGAAUUCCAACUGAGAAGGCUCCUUCCCAAUGUAUGAGUCAGUAUAUGAGACUACUUGGAUUUCAGCAAAAAUAGUAUUCAGAUUAUGUAACAGCACACAAAGUUAAAUUAUAAAAUGCAGUAACUCUUCAUAGAUCACAGCAGCUGUAUUGUCAUUUCCAUUUUACAUUCAUAUUUCUUUAGAUUUUAAAACCUACUAGUUGUAGCUUUUUCCAGGCUUAGCCUCUGCCCCCAGAUCAACUUCAAAGUCCAAACAAAAUUAAUUCAGUCAUUUAAGGAGGAAAUCAGCCCUCAGAGAGCUGUUUUGACUAAUUUGUGAAAAUUAAGAUCAAUCCAUUAAAAACUGCACUCUCUGUGUAUGAAGAACACUGCAUAGAUUUUUUUCCCUCCCACAGAUUACAAGGUACCACCCUCUGUUUGAACUAAACUUGCUGGACCCAGAAAGUUUUAAAGAAGAAAUGCCCUUGCAUAGGUUCAGACUGAAAGACCUGCACAUAUUGUCUUAUUUGUCAGAGAAGGCACCUUUUCCUGGGGAUUCCCUAAAAUGCACAUGAGGUUAUUUAGUCUGGUGAUAAAUUUAAACAGUUACAGGAAGAAAUCUCACCACACAGAGAGGAAAGAAGGCAUGUCAGAUAAAUUGUAACUUCAAUUAGGAUGUCCCCACUAGUGGGAAAUGGUAACAGCUGCCUGAUACCUGCAAGUGUCAUUCUUAUCACAUUGCUACAGAAACUAUUACAUCGUAGAGACAACAUGGUGCAUGAAGAGAAGCUAUGAAUCCUGCUUGAAAAUGGAGAUGGAAUUAAAAUUGCAGGCCUUUUCACAGCUUGCUCUUCAAUCACUGGAUCAUAAUGAACAUUGACUCUGCAGGGGAAAAUAUUUCUGCCAUUCCAUAUCUGCCUACAAAUACUUAGUACUGCAUGGAAAGUUAAUGGAUUAAGAUAGAAUCUAUGUAUAUUGGCUUCUUCAUAAACACUGUCAUUUAGGGAGCAGAAUUACUUGUGCUUUGUAAUAAACAACCACUGACUGUUCUUUUUGUCA